AUGCUUAAUGUUCCUGAGGUCUUUUCACAGGGAACACUCUUUGAUUUCUCAUGGAUUUGCCUUCUUGGAAUACUCACACAGAAAGUGUACAGCAUUUUAGGGAAGACUCAGUGUCCUGGAUGUAAGGUCAGAAGCAGCCUGCAAUGUGGAGAUGCUGAUCUGAGUGACUUCCCAGAAGCCAAAAGAGGGGCAAUGAGGAGCGCAGGGCCAAAGGAGAUAAUCAUAGAAUGGCUUGGGUUGGAUGGGACCUCAAAGAUCAACGUGGCCUUGAACACCUCAAGGGAUGGGGCAUCCACAACAUCUCUGGACCCAACCAGAGAAGACCAGCGGAGAUCCCAGCCUGGUGCUGACCCAGAGCAGCAGUUAGUACCUCAGAAAGACCCACUGGGGAAGCCCUGCUCCUCCAGGGAAAAGCCCGCACACUGUCAUACCACCUUCAGGGUUGAGCAGGUUCACAGAGGCUGAGAAGCUGUGACAAACCCUCCUCCGGCCUGUAGCAAAGCUGUAUAAUUUGUCCACGCCAAUGGGGGAGAGAAGCAGUGUCUCACCAAGCUGACAAAACAAAGCCUCCAUGGCACAAAAACUGUCCUCCUGCCCAAGGCCAAGCCCUUGCUUGAAGCCCAGAAGACCCAGAGCUGUCAUCCCCUGGGCCAGACUGCAGGUGUGCUUCCUCUAGCCUAGCAGACAUAGGGGUGGGCCAGUAUUUCCAGAACAAACUAAAUAAACAUGCCUGAUUCAAGCGGAGGCAAUCACUCACUACCAAAAAUUUCUGCUCUGUUGGUGAUACUGUGACAAAGUUAUAAGCCAGUGAAAACAGGGUCUUAAAAGGGGAAGUGUCGGCAACCUUAAUAAUAGGAGCAGCUCCCAGCCACACCUAUAAUUAAGGGCCUUUAUUGUUUUUUUCCAUAUACCUCACCUUUUUUUAUCCUUGUGGCAUUCCCAACUUCUGUCAGCCACCCACGCAGGCCUGCUUUGUUAAAAAAAAAAAAAAAAGCCACGACCAAGUGGAAAAAAACAAACAAACAGGAACAUUCGAGUGUACCCUUGGGGCUGUGUGAGGGCAGAGGGGUACAGGGUAGAGACAGGACUCUGAGCUCAAUCUGCAGCAUCUUGUCUGAAGAUGUGUAGCCCCAUCCUCCAACCCUCGUGUUUUUUUGGAGAAAAGGAGCUGAAUGGAUCCUUGUCUCUGCGGUUCUGACCGCGUGGCAGAGCCAUCAGCUUGGGCAGUCCUAUCCCAUUGUCCUGGAGGCAGGCUGCUGCCUCUCUUUCUGCACAGCACUGGGGUGGCUUUGGGCACAGCCUCUGGUGGGAAGACGUGCCGCUCGUGGAGAAGAGAAUUAGCCCUGAUCCUGGAGCUCUGAGGCGCAGCCUUCUAUCUCUCUUAGGAAUGAAGGGACAAAGACCUGAGGAGUCAUGUUCACCCCCGUUGGAAGAUUUUCAGGUCAGACCAAGUGAAAUUGGACAGGAGGCAGUCAGGCUGUGAAAUGAUUUGUGUUUGGGAAGCUAGUUGGAGGAGAGACUGAGUACAGCAAUGGAGGUCAGAGGAGGUCCCCAGAGACAGGAGGAAGGCACAUAGUGCAUCCUUCUUCAAAAAAAUCCAAGAAGUUGAUCCUGGGAACUGCAGGCUGGUCAGACUCAUUUGAUCCAAACCACAUGCUCUUGGAAUGCAUCUCCAGGCACAGAAAGAAGAGGGUGACAACUGUCGGUGUGGAUUUUAGUGAAGGUAAAUCACACCUGGUCAACAUGAUCUUCUGUGAUAAAAUGACCAGCUCUGUGGGUGAGGGGAGAGCAGUGGAAGUCAUUUACCUUGGACUCAGCCAGGCUUUCAGUGCCAUCUUCCAUCAUGUUCCUUUGUCCAAGGGAGGCUGAUUUGCUCUUUUAGAUGGACAGAAAGCUGUGUGAAAACUGGCUGGCUGUCAGGAGGCAGUGGUUAAGGGGUGUCUGGAGGACCUGAUGUUUCACAUGGGUGCCAUUUAUCAGGAGGAGGUGAUAAAGUGCUUUCCCACCAAGCUGGUGUGGAGGGGGAACCAAGUGACCUGUUCAAGGGCACAUCCUAUCGGACAACACAGGUCUUACGGGGAGCAGCUGAGGGAACUGAGAUUGCUCUGCCUGGAGAAGAAUAGCUCAGGGGAGACCUCACUGCUCUUUACAGUGACCUGAAAGGAGGUCGUGGUGAGGUGGGGGUCAGCCUCUUCUCCCAGGUAAUGAGAAACAGGAUGAGAGGGAAUAGCCUCAAGUUGUGACAGGGGAGGUUCAGAUUAGAUAUUUAGGAACAAUUUCUUCUCAGAAGGAGUGGUGCUGCAGUGGCACAGGCUGCUCAGGGAGGUGGUGCAGUUACCAUCCCUGGAGGUGUUCCAGAACCGUGUGGAUGUGGCAUUGAGGACAUGGUCAGUGGGCAUGGUGGGGAUGGCUGAUGGUUGGAGCAGGUGAUCUUAGAGGUCUUUUCCAACCUUAAUGACUCUGUGAUUCUAUAAGGUGAAAAAAGAGAGAUCCAGUAUGAAUAUUAGGAAAAUAUUUCUGUCCCUGAGUAGUCAAACAUGGGAAAAAGUUGCCCAGGUGAGUGCAUGUGUUGAACAGAAAGCACAUGGGGCAGCAUCCCGGUGACCCCAUAGAGCAUCGUGGAGAGAGUUGGAAACAUAAGCCUGCUGCACACGAUGAAGAUCCCCCCCGUGCUGGGGGGAGUGCAGCAUUGACGCCAGCCUGUGAUUCACGGCAGCGCAAACUGGUGGCGAGUGAGGAUCCGAUGGUGUGUGAGUGAGUCCCAUGCGCUCUGGGGGGGCGGUGCGGGCGGUUAUGAAACCAGCUUGCCCAGUCAGAGUAAUUCAUGUACUGCUGUGGGAGGGAUGGGAGAGAUAAACAACGCGCCGAGAGAAGGGAGGGCAGGGAGGAUGGCUUAAAAUGCAGCUUCCCGGCAUGCCCUGCUGGAUUAGUUCAGCAUCUCAGCCCGGCUCCUCUGUGAUUCUUAUGCAAGGGGUUUCUCUGGAAGGGACGGCCUGUCCUUGCUAGCCGAGCGCCAGGCACAGGGCACUGACUAACAAAAGGCCAUCUCACCACAUGUCCCAUGUGGCCAGCUGGGCGAGGAUAAGCACUUUAUUGCUUGCUUUCAGCCCAGUGUGAUUCAAGCGUGAUGAGCAGGAGGAGUACCCCAAAUACCGACAGCCCCUGCGCCAGCAUAGAGUUCAACUUGCACUGUGCCAUUGCUCUUGGGGGGCUGAUGCACCUGGGUGUGCUCUGAACAUGCUGGUUUCUGUCUGUGAAGCUCCAGGUGGGGUGUUUUUGUGGAGAUCUGGAGACUGGGGUGUCUCUGCUGGGAACAGGCACUGUGCUUGAUCCUCCAGAGC
rnacentral:lncRNA from 1 species